rnacentral:rRNA from 1 species
AACGAACGCUGGCGGCAUGCCUAACACAUGCAAGUCGAACGAACCCUUCGGGGUGAGUGGCGCACGGGUGCGUAACGCGUGGGAACCUGCCUUUAGGUUCGGAAUAACAGUUAGAAAUGACUGCUAAUACCGGAUAAUGUCUUCGGACCAAAGAUUUAUCGCCUUUAGAUGGGCCCGCGUUGGAUUAGCUAGUUGGUAGGGUAAAAGCCUACCAAGGCGACGAUCUAUAGCUGGUCUGAGAGGAUGAUCAGCCACACUGGGACUGAGACACGGCCCAG